AACGAACGCUGGCGGCAGGCCUAACACAUGCAAGUCGAGCGGACAUCUUCGGAUGUUAGCGGCGGACGGGUGAGUAACGCGGGGGAACGUGCCCUUUGCUUCGGAAUAGCCUCGGGAAACUGGGAGUAAUACCGGAUGUACCCUUUGGGGGAAAGAUUUAUCGGCAAAGGAUCGGCCCGCGUUGGAUUAGGUAGUUGGUGGGGUAAUGGCCUACCAAGCCGACGAUCCAUAGCUGGUUUGAGCGGAUGAUCAGCCACACUGGGACUGAGACACGGCCCAGACUCCUACGGGAGGCAGCAGUGGGGAAUCUUAGACAAUGGGGGAAACCCUGAUCUAGCCAUGCCGCGUGAGCGAUGAAGGCCUUAGGGUUGUAAAGCUCUUUCACCGGGGAAGAUAAUGACGGUACCCGGAGAAGAAGCCCCGGCUAACUCCGUG
rnacentral:rRNA from 1 species